GGGGAAUAUUGCACAAUGGGGGAAACCCUGAUGCAGCGACGCCGCGUGGAGGAAGAAGGUCUUCGGAUUGUAAACUCCUGUUGUUGAGGAAGAUAAUGACGGUACUCAACAAGGAAGUGACGGCUAACUACGUGCCAGCAGCCGCGGUAAAACGUAGGUCACAAGCGUUGUCCGGAAUUACUGGGUGUAAAGGGAGCGCAGGCGGGAAGACAAGUUGGAAGUGAAAUCCAUGGGCUCAACCCAUGAACUGCUUUCAAAACUGUUUUUCUUGAGUAGUGCAGAGGUAGGCGGAAUUCCCGGUGUAGCGGUGGAAUGCGUAGAUAUCGGGAGGAACACCAGUGGCGAAGGCGGCCUACUGGGCACCAACUGACGCUGAGGCUCGAAAGUGUGGGUAGCAAACAGGAUUAGAUACCCUGGUAGUCCACACUGUAAACGAUGAUUACUAGGUGUUGGAGGAUUGACCCCUUCAGUGCCGCAGUUAACACAAUAAGUAAUCCACCUGGGGAGUACGACCGCAAGGUUGAAACUCAAAGGAAUUGACGGGGGCCCGCACAAGCAGUGGAGUAUGUGGUUUAAUUCGACGCAACGCGAAGAACCUUACCAAGUCUUGACAUCCUGCGACGGACAUAGAAAUAUGUUUUUCCUUCGGGACGCAGAGACAGGUGGUGCAUGGUUGUCGUCAGCUCGUGUCGUGAGAUGUUGGGUUAAGUCCCGCAACGAGCGCAACCCUUAUGGUCAGUUACUACGCAAGAGGACUCUGGCCAGACUGCCGUUGACAAAACGGAGGAAGGUGGGGAUGACGUCAAAUCAUCAUGCCCUUUAUGACUUGGGCUACACACGUACUACAAUGGCGUUAAACAAAGAGAAGCAAGACCGCGAGGUGGAGCAAAACUCAGAAACAACGUCCCAGUUCGGACUGCAGGCUGCAACUCGCCUGCACGAAGUCGGAAUUGCUAGUAAUCGCAGAUCAGCAUGUCGCGGUGAAUACGUUCCCG
rnacentral:rRNA from 1 species